rnacentral:lncRNA from 1 species
GGGAGUUUGUAUUAGAAAUAAGAGAUUGAGAUUAUAAGUUAAGGAAUUGUGGUUUUUAAAUUUGGGGUUUGGAAUGGAAAGAAUAGUUUGAGGUUAAAGGGAAGAUGAGUUUGAGGUUUGGAAUAUAUGAAGUAGAAGAUAAGGAAGAUGGGGUUUGGGGUUUCGGAUUUUAGGGAUUUAAACAUAAUCUUCGUAAUUUCCUAGUAAACUAACGAGGAAAUAACGACGAAAAUAACGCGGGACUCGUUAAUUCCACGUAAGCACAAUUCGUCGUAAAUACCUCGUAAUAGGAAAACGCGGGCCUCGCUAUUUCCCCGUGAAUAAUAACACCGCCUUGCUAAUUCCUCGUAAAUGAACGACCAAUAAAAAAGAAGAGAAGGAAGAUACUGGAAUCAUAGGAGGGAAGAAACAAGGCGAGACCUACAUAAGUCUAGCCUUGUCUCCGCCCACAUGUGUUCCCGUAUCUUUCUCUCCUUCUUUUUUUCAAAUCUUUCUAAUUUGAGAAGCAAACUGGUGAGUAAUUA